rnacentral:tRNA from 2 species
GCCGGUGUAGCUCAGUGGUUAGAGCAGGGCCUUCAUAAGGCCAAGGUCAUAGGUUCAAAUCCUGUCACCGGCA